ACUGAAGCCCGAGCCGAGCCGAGCCCGAGCCGCCGCCGCCGCCGCCGCUGCUGCGCACCGCUCCCGGGCUCCCUCCCAGCGCGCCGGCCGGGGUGUGGGGGGCGGCGGGCCGGAGGGGCGAGGGCGGGCCAGGGGGCGCACACGGGGGUUGGCGCGGAAGACAGGACCCUCAGCCUCGAGGGAGCCCCUAGGUGACCAGGCAAAAUGGCAGUUCCUUCCAGCUGGUCCUCAGAUGGGCACAUCUAUUAGCCUCUGCUCUUGUAAGAAGUUAGCUGCAGAACCCACAUGUGAAUCCUUGUAGGACUCUGGAGAAGAUCAAAUGGGAGCUUAGAUGUGGAAGCUCUUUGGAAACCAAGAAACACUCUGAAAAUGAAAAGGGAACAGUUUGUGGACUUGCGCUGGCCCUUGGACCACACUUCGAGUGACAUUGUUAUAGAUGACACGGUCUCUUAUAGGAAAAUGCACAGUCUUUCUUAGAUUCUCUACCUCCCUCUUCCAUCUCAUUCCCAACAUAGAUCUGGGUACAUGAGUGGGGUCUUAUUAUAAUCUUGUGACACCCUUGGAUCAUGCACUACCCUCUAAAUAAUCAAUAGUUUCUACUAUAGAGAGGCUCAAUUUAUCUUCUCCCUGGAAUUGGGACCACUGAAAUAUAACUAGAACCCAACUGAUCUUUUGAGAUGUUGUGUGCUUGCCCUUACUGCUACUGCCGUAGUUCUGAACAUUUCCCCAAGCAUCAAAAAGGCCCCAUGGCCUCUUUUCCCCUAGACCUCUGCCAGUCCACCAACACUCUCAGUGGGGAAGUAAGAAGCCUGGUGGAUCCUGCUUCCCACACAAAGGCCAUGAUGAGACAGAUGCUUUCUAAGUCCGAUAUAUCUACCCACUUUCUGCUGUCACCUCUGUACCUCCUGAGUCACAUGGAAUGUGGUGCUGAGCCAAAUGGUCAGUCUUCUAGAAGCAGUGGAAUGUUGGAGGCAGCUUAUACCUUAGCUGAUUCUUAAAUUUUCAGGAAUUUUGUGAGCCAGUUUUUAAACACAGCCAUUGUUGAAAAUUAAACAAUAUAAACUUAUAAUCAAAUAUAUUAAAAAUAAAGAUAAUGCCCUCAACUCAUCACUUCCUAUUUAUUGUUUUACACUUUAGUACUAUCUAUGCUUAUUGUAUGUGUAUGGUGGAAAUACUACAUAAUGAUAUUUAAUGGUGUACUGCCACACAGCUCUUCACAACUCUGCAUUCAGUGACAUCACUUUGGUAGCUUGAAAUCAGCCAUGAUAGGAGUAUUUAUAUCUUGGAAAUUGGCAAAUAUUACAAAUCAGCAUUCCACCCUCCCUUACCUCCCCACCCCCCAGCCAGUUGUUAAACAUUUACCAGCAUGCAACCACCCAGAGCCUGCAUCUGGGAAAGUGAGCCACUAACCCAAUGACCUGUGAUAACCCUAUACAUAUCUAGCUGUUACUAAGCUGCCCUUCCCAUAACGGUCUGCCCCAAAAAGGUGUGUGUGCAGAGGAGAAUAAAAACUAAAACCCUAAGAUCAUCUUAUUUACUUGCCCUAUUUCUGCCUCUUUUCUCUCCCUGCCAUCUCUGGGGUCCAGAAGUAGAAGCUUUUUAUUGCCUCCGGAGUUUAUUCUUAUACAUCAAGGAUAAACAUUCAUGACCUAACAUCAUCUCUCUUGUUUUCUCCCGCCAAAGCUAUAAGGAUAGUCUAAUCAUGAAAAAACAUUAAACAAACUCAAAAUGGGGACAGUCUAUAAAAUACCUAACCAGUUCUCUUCAGAACAGUUAAGGUCCUGAAAGGCGAGGAGAGAAGAAGAAACAAUCACAACUUGGAGGACAUUAAUGCACUAAAUUUAAUAUGGUUUCAUAAGUUGGGCUGAAAAGAAAAGGACAGUAGAAAAGCUGGGAUAUGAGAAUACAGUCUAAGUGUAGUACUAAUGUUAAGUUUUUAAUCUCUAACUUGAUGGCAUGGUUAUAGAAAAUAGAAACAUUAGGCAAAGCUGGGUGAAAGGUAUACAGGAACUCUACUAUCUAUACAACUUUUCUGUAAACAUAAAAUUAUUUCAAAAUAAAACUAAUAUAAGAAAAAAACAUGGCCGACAUAACAGAUAGAAUGGAUAUCUUCUCUAGUCUAUGAAAAACCCUGUGUCCUACAUUCACUUGCUUUGUGAUAUAAUAAAAGGGGGAAAGGAAGGGAUGAUAGAAACAUUAUUCCUCUUAAUAAACUUGGAUUUUAAAAUCUUUUAUCUUUUCACAGCAUAAAACAUUCCACUUAGGAUGCUAUAUGUUGAGCAUUAACUUUCUCUUUUUCUUUAUAGUCUUUCUGUAAUAGUUCAAAUCCUGCCCACCCUGAGGGUGGAUGUUUCUAGAUGAUGAAGGAGGUCAUAAACAGAGAGUAGAUUAAUAUAAUUAUCUUUAUUUCAUGUCUAUUUGCAAAUGGGCCAUUGUUCACAUAGUUGUCUCUCUUUCUAAAUGGAAGAAUAGUUGGAGUUGGGGGUGGGGAAAUACCAGAACUGAGAGGAGUAAAGGUGCUUCAAGACAAUGCUUCUUAAACUUUGGUUUUGUGUUUGCAUCUCUUGGGGAUCUUGUUUAAAGUAGGUUGAGAUUCAGUAUGUUUGGGGAGGGGCCCGUUAAUCUGAUUUUAUAAAAAGUUCCUAGAUGAUGCCAUGCUGCUGGUCUCUGAGAAGCAAGAGUCUGGGGUCCUUUCUAAAGUGUUUCCUCUCUCCUCUAUACAGUCAGAAAAGGAAAGUGCUUACUGGUCAGAGAUUUAAAAGACAUAGGAGAUAUACCACACUUCUAUAAGACCAGAAACAAAAACAAAGAAAGAAGAAACAUAAUAACCAAAAUAUGACAUUAUUGCACACAAUGAGAUGCAGUAAAAGAUGGACUACUUAGGCAUUCACUGGACAUAAGUGAAGCUGCCUUUGGAGUUUAAUUUUAAGUUCUCAGUAACUCACUGUAUUUAGUCAUAUCGUUUCACAUACAGACAAAAUUCCUUCUCUACUAAGAAGGAACUAAAGCUCUCAGAAUUACUGAGUUGCACAGUACCAAUUUACAUGAAUAUUUUUCUUCCUCUAAAAGUUUGUAAUGACUAUGGUUCCUGGAAAAUAAUAUUUCAUUUUUUCAAUUCAUACUCUUAAUCUACCAAAAAAACACUCUUCCAAAAAUAUAAGCUAGAAAAACAGGUAAUUUGCUCAUAUCAUAGAGACAACUCAUACCAAUAAAAAAAUACAUUUUAAAAUUUGGAAAAUUACAAUGAGAGAAUAAAGCAUUUUGCAUGCAGAUGUGUUAUGUUUUUACUCCACAAUAUUGGGAGCUUCCAAAGUGUAACAUGCAUUUACAGAGCCACUCUCUUAGCAUUUAAACUGGGAGGCAUUUUUCGAGAAGCAUGAGUCUUGCUCAGCGGUCCUGUAGCCACUCUAGCAAUCUCACACAGUACAUGACUUAUAAAUAUUGUAUGUGCUUGAUGGAAGUAGACCUGGCUUUGCUAAUCACUUACCAGUUCUUUUGCCCAGUAUUUCUUUGUUUUAGAAGUAACUUUGUUUAGCUUACCAAAUGUAUAUUGUCCAAUUUGUAGGAAAUAUAAGUAAUAUUGCAAACAGCAAAAUGGGAUUGUAUGUGCAGAUCUCUGCAUCCUGGUGGGCCCUGUCAUGUUAGUAAUAGCUUUUCCUUGUGCUGUUGCCACUGCCAAACAGACUGCUUAUGCGAUCUUUGGCUUUCUUAACUCCUCUUUGGGGAUCAAUAAAGUGUUUCUUUUUUUUCUUAGAUACCAACUUCAUCUCUCUUUAAGAAUACAAUAUUAGUUUAAAAGAUUGUUCAACUUAAAGCAAUCUUGUAGAGAUUGUCACCCAUGAUUGAUGCUGGGUGAGUAGAAAGGAAAAUGUUGAUUUUAUCCUCUGCCUUUCAGAUCUUUGAAGGGGAAAGUGGGCUAGUUUUUUAAACUGCAGCCUGAUCAAAUGUUUCAAAAGUUGUUCAAAAGUAAUCUUAGUCCAACACUGCUCCUCUGACUUUUAUCUAGAGAAAUAGAAAAGUUUAUAUAUUAACGAUUUGUUUCUUUUAAGUACUUGUGUACAUUUUUCUCUUGCAAUAAGUAUUAAUAAUUGAAAAUUAUUAAAUUGUCAUUUUAAUGUUUUUUAUUAAGUAAGUUUGAUAUGUUUCUUAGCAACGAAGACCUGUGGCUCAAAUAGGAGCAGACAAUUCAUGGAAUCAAAUUUUAAAUUCAAGCAGAGCUAUCAUACUGACAUAUUUGUAUUUCCCUUUGUCUUGGAAUUAUUGGUUUGUUUAAAAUAAUAAGUUUAGCCAAUUAUUUUGUUAUUCUGUUAUUUAAAAUAUAAAUUUGCAGUCUAAAAUUUUUUGUGUAAAGGUGAGUGUAUAAAUGAAUAUAAAUAUAAAUAAAUAACUAAUGAUCACA
rnacentral:lncRNA from 1 species